rnacentral:rRNA from 1 species
UACGGGGGGGGGCAAGCGUUGUUCGGAAUUACUGGGCGUAAAGGGCUCGUAGGCGGCCAACUAAGUCAGACGUGAAAUCCCCAGGCUUAACCUGGGAACUGCGUCUGAUACUGGAUGGCUUGAGAUUGGGAGAGGGAUGCGGAAUUCCAGGUGUAGCGGUGAAAUGCGUAGAUAUCUGGAGGAACACCGGUGGCGAAGGCGGCAUCCUGGACCAACACUGACGCUGAGACGCGAAAGCGUGGGGAGCGAACAGG